rnacentral:rRNA from 1 species
GACGAACGCUGGCGGCGUGCUUAACACAUGCAAGUCGUACGGUAAGGCCCUUUCGGGGGUCCACGAGUGGCGAACGGGUGAGUAACACGUGAGUAACCUGCCCACAACUUUGGGAUAACGCUAGGAAACUGGUGCUAAUACUGGAUAUGUGCUCCUGCUGCAUGGUGGGGGUUGGAAAGCUCCGGCGGUUGUGGAUGGACUCGCGGCCUAUCAGCUUGUUGGUGGGGUAGUGGCCUACCAAGGCGGCGACGGGUAGCCGGCCUGAGAGGGUGACCGGCCACAUUGGGACUGAGAUACGGCCCAGACUCCUACGGGAGGCAGCAGUGGGGAAUAUUGCACAAUGGGCGCAAGCCUGAUGCAGCAACGCCGCGGGCGGGAUGACGGCCUUCGGGUUGUAAACCGCUUUCAGCAGGGACGAAGCUUUCUGUGACGGUACCUGCAGAAGAAGCACCGGCUAACUACGUG